rnacentral:rRNA from 1 species
GAUGAACGCUGGCGGCGUGCCUAAUACAUGCAAGUCGAGCGAACGGACGAGAAGCUUGCUUCUCUGAUGUUAGCGGCGGACGGGUGAGUAACACGUGGAUAACCUACCUAUAAGACUGGGAUAACUUCGGGAAACCGGAGCUAAUACCGGAUAAUAUUUUGAACUGCAUGGUUCAAAAGUGAAAGACGGUCUUGCUGUCACUUAUAGAUGGAUCCGCGCUGCAUUAGCUAGUUGGUAAGGUAACGGCUUACCAAGGCAACGAUGCAUAGCCGACCUGAGAGGGUGAUCGGCCACACUGGAACUGAGACACGGUCCAGACUCCUACGGGAGGCAGCAGUAGGGAAUCUUCCGCAAUGGGCGAAAGUCUGACGGAGCAACGCCGCGUGAGUGAUGAAGGUCUUCGGAUCGUAAAACUCUGUUAUUAGGGAAGAACAUAUGUGUAAGUAACUGUGCACAUCUUGACGGUACCUAAUCAGAAAGCCACGGCUAACUACGUG